UAAACAAGUCCCCCAGUCCAUUUAAUUAAAGCACGUCUGUAAAUUUAACCAAGACAGUGCUCUAAAAUACAGGAGUUGUGAACUAGUAACCAACAUCAAAAGCAAAAGCCCAAGUGAGCAGAUGCAGACGGCACCACAAGGCCGGCAUCGGAGAGGUCAACUGGCAGCUUCAGAGCUGGUGUUACCAGGCGGGCUUUGGAUUCUUUGACCAUGACCCACACUUCUGUGCAGGAGACAUGCUAGGGCAGGAUGGGUUGCACCUCUACCCAAAAGGUAAUGUGUUUUCUCUUCCAGGUUGGCUUAUCUCUUAUGGUGAGCUUUAAGCUAGGUUCAUCGGAGGAUUGGGAUGCAAACAUGCAGGAGGACACUUUGACAUCAAGCCAGGUGAUGCAAGUGGGAACAACCCAGAGUCUCACAUGAACGUCAGAUCUAUUCCUGAUUAGAACUCCCAAGGAUCAAAAAGAAAGCUUGCUGCCUCAGUUCAUGACUCGAUUAGCCUAAAUAGAACAACUUGUCUUAAGAACUGUGAGUGCUCAAUACCUCUAAAACUCAAAGAAGUGAUAUGGGCUUUCUACUAUAAACCAUUAGGCCCAUAUGCAGCCAAGUUACCCUAUUAACUUCAGCUCGACUAUCCUGUGCAUAAAGUGGAAAAGCAGUUCAGGACCAGUUCAUCCAUGUGAAAAAUAUGACCCCUGUAUCCUAUCAAGGUCAGCAAGCCUGCUUAGUGCAUAAAGGAGAAGAGGUCACUUGUGCACGAGGGAUAAAGAGGCUAAAAUCACCUAUAGAAAAAAAUUUACUCUCUGUGAAAUCCAAAAAAAAAAUGAAGUCGUAAAGAGAAGAAAGAAACUGAGAUUAAAAUUUCAGAGGGAUUUUAGGUAGAUGAAAUAAGGCUCUUCCUACUGGAAAUUGGUUAAGACAACAGAGUUGCUCAUUUUACAAAAAAUGGAAGUUGCUUGGUGUGAUGACCAUGGCCACAAGUAGGAGAGAACCUCAUGGAAGAAGGGAUACAUUUUUUAACCAGGUGGACCCAAUUUCCUCUUUGUUUGGUAUUGGACUGAGAAAAAUAUGGACCACUAAUUCCCUUUUCUUUUCUGUUAUUACUCAACUGUGGAAGCCUAGUUUCAAGAGAAAACAAAUGAACAAAUAAGAAGCAAAGUGAAAAAAAUCUGUCUUACCUUAACAUUGAA